rnacentral:rRNA from 1 species
CCUACGGGUGGCAGCAGUGGGGAAUAUUGCACAAUGGGGGAAACCCUGAUGCAGCAACGCCGCGUGGGUGAAGGAGCGUUUUGGCGCGUAAAGCCCUGUCAGCGGGGAAGAAGAAAGACGGUACCCGACCACGAAGCCCCGGCUAACCCCGUGCUAGCAGCCGUGGCAAUACGUAGGGGGCGAGCGUUAUCCGGAAGUACUGGGUGUAAAGGGAGCGUAGCCGGCGAGGUAAGCCUGGAGUGGAAGCCCGGGGCCCAACCGCGGAACCGCUUAGGGAACUGUUAUGCUGGAGUAUGGGAGGGGUAAGCGGAAUGCCUGGUGUAGCAGUGAAAUGCGUAGAUAUCAGGAGGAACACCGGUGGCGAAGGCGGGUUACUGGACCAUAACUGACGUUGAGGCUCGAAGGCGUGGGGAGCGAACGGGAUUAGAUACCCUAGUAGUC